rnacentral:rRNA from 1 species
GACGAACGCUGGCGGCGUGCCUAACACAUGCAAGUCGAACGAAGCUUGAUUCUUGAUUUCUUCGGAAAGAUAGAUGAUAUGACUGAGUGGCGGACGGGUGAGUAACGCGUGAGCAACCUGCCCUUCGGAGGGGGAUAGUGUCUGGAAACGGACAGUAAUACCGCAUAAAAUAUAUUUGCCGCAUGACAGAUAUAUCAAAACUGAGGUGCCGAGGGAUGGGCUCGCGUUGGAUUAGAUAGUUGGUGGGGUAACGGCCUACCAAGUCAACGAUCCAUAGCCGGACUGAGAGGUUGAACGGCCACAUUGGGACUGAGACACGGCCCAG